UAGAAGAAUUUGUGCAAAAAU
ensembl:piRNA 21ur-7724 ncRNA